UCCAUACCCCCUGCAUUGGAAGGUGAAGUCUUAAACACUGGACUGCCAGGCUAAAGGGAAGACUUUGGAUCCCAGCCCGACUGCUGAAGGGCAGAGGGUUACUCUCUGGAGCUGGGCAAGUGAGGGGGUCCAGGGAACGGUUACCUGUGUUUCCACCUUCUCUUUCUCCUCCCAACUUCUAAUUCAUCUGGGUCAGCUGGG